GAUGAAGAACGCAGCGAAAUGCGAUAAGUAGUGUGAAUUGCAGAAUUCCGUGAAUCAUCGAAUCUUUGAACGCACAUUGCGCCUUCUGGUAUUCCGGAAGGCAUGUCUGUUCGAGAGUCAUUAACAACCGUUUCGAUCCCUUUCUUUCAGAAAUUACAAAGAGGAAAAGGGUUUGGUUAUGGUGGAGGAGGGAAAGGGAGCGUUUAGCCUGUAAAAAAAGAGGCUGUGUUCCGCCUCCCCCCCAAAAUUGUACAGGCGGUCGUGUGCGCCCACGCAUCGAGGUGUUGUAAAAGCUGCCACGGCACUUUUCACCUGUGCAGUGCGAGAUUGGCCAGCCGGUUUAAAAACCCCUCCAAACAAUCAAAGGUUGACCUCGGAUCAGGUAGGGAUACCCGCUGAACUUAAGCAUAUCAAUAGCGGAGGA
rnacentral:misc_RNA from 1 species